GAUGAACGCUAGCUACAGGCUUAACACAUGCAAGUCGAGGGGCAGCGCAGUGUAGCAAUACAUGGGCGGCGACCGGCGCACGGGUGCGUAACGCGUAUCCAACCUUCCCGUUACUCAGGGAUAGCCUUCCGAAAGGGAGAUUAAUACCUGAUGGUGUUUGAAUUCCGCAUGUUAUUCAAACUAAAGAUUUAUCGGUAACGGAUGGGGAUGCGUGACAUUAGAUAGUAGGCGGGGUAACGGCCCACCUAGUCUACGAUGUCUAGGGGUUCUGAGAGGAAGGUCCCCCCACACUGGAACUGAGACACGGUCCAGACUCCUACGGGAGGCAGCAGUGAGGAAUAUUGGGUCAAUGGUCUGACGACUGAACCAGCCAUGCCGCGUGAAGGUCACGGGCCCUAUGGGUCUUAAACUUCUUUUGUAAGGGAGCAAUAAGUCUCACGUGUGGGAUGAUGAGAGUACCUUACGAAUAAGCAUCGGCC
rnacentral:rRNA from 1 species